rnacentral:lncRNA from 1 species
UCUCGAUUUCAUUUUCUUUUUUUUUUGUCAACAUACUUUCCAUUAAGCCUUUUGGCUAAACAUGAGUACAAUAUUUAAUUAGACUUAAAGUCAACACGUGAACAAUCUGAAAAUAGAGCAUACAAUCUAACGAACACGUGUAAGCAGAUCCCCAUAUGUUGGCAUUACGUGGCUGGAUAGUAGGACGCAUGUUAGACACCUGUUGAUUCCACCAACCUUGGCUCCACCACCGAAUAGGAGUAGCUCGCCGGCGUAGCUCUCCAUCAGAACCUCCGCAAGACUUCAAGUCAACUAAAGCUUGUACUCACUUGGAAGACGCCUUUCACUCAAGCCGAGACAAACUGAUCAGAGGGACCUUGAUUCACCGUUAAUUAAACACAUAGGAAGUUCAAGUCGGGAUGAAAGGAGACUCUUUGUUGGACCGUUGUCAAACGCCAACUCUGCUGAAUCUUCUUCAUAGAGACUUAAUAAAUCCAUCAAACUCACUCUUCUUCCAGUCCAAGAUGCUUCACUUCGACGACAUAGAACACGGCUGAUAUAUCAUGUGAAGACUGAUUCUUUUAGGAAGAGAUAAAGUUGAAACGAUGAAAAAAGAUAUCAGAUCAAUAGCCAUCGGAAUUGAAAUGAAGAUCAGUGAAAGGGAUGAUAUGAAACCCGAACAGGUCGGUAAAACAAAAGUCGCCUUACGAAAGGGUAAUCCGCUAACCGGAAGUUUAUUUCGAUCUAAAGAUCGAUUAUAUGAUACAAAGGUAACAAAAAACAAAAUAGAAACAGAGAUGGCGACCGACGGCGAGAUGCACGCCGGCCACCGGAACGAUUUUCACUUUGAAAGAGCUGUUUUUAGUUCAAUCUUUUAAGUCUGAGCUUUUGCUUCGUAUUCUCGAUUUCAUUUUCAUAUCUCU